UACUAAACAUAUAUGCCUCACAGGGAACUUAUGUCCCUUCUGCACAUCUGGAGGGUGGGGUCCCAGCGGCCACUGAUUACGCCGUGAAUCAAGUAAUUACCACAUGGAACACUGAUGACCCCAAAAGCCAUGCGUUAGACGGGUUCGAGUAUACCAAUGGAAGACUGCAAGUGCCCGAGGAUGGUCGUUACUAUGUUUACAUGCAGAUGUACUUCAACAAAAGGUCACACAACAAUAACAACCGUGUGGCUCUUUUUGCCAACAAUCGUAUUCUCUUGAUGAUUCACAAGGAUAUGUCGCCCGGACAGGAGAACACCGGUUUUGCUGGAGGCGUAUUCCAAUUGAAAAAAGGAGAAAAGAUCUACGUGAAAGUCAUUGGUUUUAACACCAAAAUGUGGUUGGGGCCUAACCACAGUUAUUUUGGUGCUUACCUGAUAUAACCUCUGAUAUUUUAGAGAAGCAAUUUGAUGCAAAGCAAAACUUAGAGAGCUCAAUAAAAGUAAAAGGAGCGUA
rnacentral:lncRNA from 1 species